UGAGGCGUGAUGACGAGGCACUACGGUGCUGAAGCAACAAAUGCCCUGCUUCCAGGAAAAGCCUCUAAGCAUCAGGUAACAUCAAAUCGUACCCCAAACCGACACAGGUGGUCAGGUAGAGAAUACCAAGGCGCUUGAGAGAACUCGGGUGAAGGAACUAGGCAAAAUGGUGCCGUAACUUCGGGAGAAGGCACGCUGAUAUGUAGGUGAAGUCCCUCGCGGAUGGAGCUGAAAUCAGUCGAAGAUACCAGCUGGCUGCAACUGUUUAUUAAAAACACAGCACUGUGCAAACACGAAAGUGGACGUAUACGGUGUGACGCCUGCCCGGUGCCGGAAGGUUAAUUGAUGGGGUCAGCGCAAGCGAAGCUCUUGAUCGAAGCCCCGGUAAACGGCGGCCGUAACUAUAACGGUCCUAAGGUAGCGAAAUUCCUUGUCGGGUAAGUUCCGACCUGCACGAAUGGCGUAAUGAUGGCCAGGCUGUCUCCACCCGAGACUCAGUGAAAUUGAACUCGCUGUGAAGAUGCAGUGUACCCGCGGCAAGACGGAAAGACCCCGUGAACCUUUACUAUAGCUUGACACUGAACAUUGAGCCUUGAUGUGUAGGAUAGGUGGGAGGCUUUGAAGUGUGGACGCCAGUCUGCAUGGAGCCGACCUUGAAAUACCACCCUUUAAUGUUUGAUGUUCUAACGUGGACCCGUGAUCCGGGUUGCGGACAGUGUCUGGUGGGUAGUUUGACUGGGGCGGUCUCCUCCUAAAGAGUAACGGAGGAGCACGAAGGUUGGCUAAUCCUGGUCGGACAUCAGGAGGUUAGUGCAAUGGCAUAAGCCAGCUUGACUGCGAGCGUGACGGCGCGAGCAGGUGCGAAAGCAGGUCAUAGUGAUCCGGUGGUUCUGAAUGGAAGGGCCAUCGCUCAACGGAUAAAAGGUACUCCGGGGAUAACAGGCUGAUACCGCCCAAGAGUUCAUAUCGACGGCGGUGUUUGGCACCUCGAUGUCGGCUCAUCACAUCCUGGGGCUGAAGUAGGUCCCAAGGGUAUGGCUGUUCGCCAUUUAAAGUGGUACGCGAGCUGGGUUUAGAACGUCGUGAGACAGUUCGGUCCCUAUCUGCCGUGGGCGCUGGAGAACUGAGGGGGGCUGCUCCUAGUACGAGAGGACCGGAGUGGACGCAUCACUGGUGUUCGGGUUGUCAUGCCAAUGGCACUGCCCGGUAGCUAAAUGCGGAAGAGAUAAGUGCUGAAAGCAUCUAAGCACGAAACUUGCCCCGAGAUGAGUUCUCCCUGACCCUUUAAGGGUCCUGAAGGAACGUUGAAGACGACGACGUUGAUAGGCCGGGUGUGUAAGCGCAGCGAUGCGUUGAGCUAACCGGUACUAAUGAACCGUGAGGCUUAACCUUACAACGCCGAAGGUGUUU
rnacentral:rRNA from 1 species